rnacentral:ncRNA from 2 species
GCACAAUAUAUAGUUUUUGGUGCUCCUUAGAGCCUAACAGGAAAUUCCGUGAAAAUCGGAAGCAUUCCCGAUGCUGUGAGGGAAAUACGAAAGCCGCAUUUAUAGCCACUGUUUGAGAAUUUUGCAAAUGGGAAGGCGCGGCAAGUAGGAUAAACGUUUAACGUUUAAUAUUCCCAAGCCAGAAGACCUGCCAAAAAUUUUUUACGGAU